rnacentral:siRNA from 1 species
ACACAUAGAUUACAAUUUGGACUA